rfam:Octopus bimaculoides Scaffold40646_contig_7, whole genome shotgun sequence.
UAACUCAUCAAAUAACUGGGAUAUGCUGCUAUUAGGACAUAUCACAGCUAGCUUUGAUGAGCUGGG